AGUUAAGUAACUAAGCGUACAAGGUGGAUGCCUUGGCAAUCAGAGGCGAAGAAGGACGUGCUAAUCUGCGAAAAGCUUGGAUGAGUCGAUAAGAGGCGUUUAAUCCAAGAUAUCCGAAUGGGGAAACCCAGUAGAUGAAGAAUCUACUAUCAACAAGUGAAUUCAUAGCUUGUUGAGGCAAACCGGGAGAACUGAAACAUCUAAGUACCCCGAGGAAAAGAAAUCAACCGAGAUUUCGUCAGUAGCGGCGAGCGAAAGCGAAAGAGCCAGUAAGUGAUAGCAGUAUAGUGAGGAGAAUGUGUUGGGAAGCACAAUCAAAGAGGGUGAUAAUCCCGUAUCUAAAAACCAUAUUGUGGUACUAAGCUAACGAGAAGUAGGGCGGGACACGUGAUAUCCUGUUUGAAGAAGGGGGGACCAUCCUCCAAGGCUAAAUACUCCUGAUUGACCGAUAGUGAACCAGUACUGUGAAGGAAAGGCGAAAAGAACCCCGGUGAGGGGAGUGAAAUAGAACCUGAAACCUUGUACGUACAAGCAGUGGGAGC
rnacentral:rRNA from 1 species